rnacentral:rRNA from 1 species
ACUCCUACGGAAGGCAGCAGUGGGGAAUUUUGCGCAAUGGGCGAAAGCCUGACGCAGCAACGCCGCGUGUGUGACGAAGGCCCUAGGGUUGUAAAGCACUGUGGGAAGGGAAGAAAAACGGGGGUUGUACCCCGUCUUGACGGUACCUUGUUAGAAAGCACCGGCUAACUCCGUGCCAGCAGCCGCGGUAAU